AGUGAACGCUGGCGGUAUGCCUAACACAUGCAAGUCGAACGGCAGCACAGUAAGAGCUUGCUCUUACGGGUGGCGAGUGGCGGACGGGUGAGGAAUACAUCGGAAUCUACUUUUUCGUGGGGGAUAACGUAGGGAAACUUACGCUAAUACCGCAUACGACCUACGGGUGAAAGCAGGGGAUCUUCUGACCUUGCGCGAUUGAAUGAGCCGAUGUCGGAUUAGCUAGUUGGCGGGGUAAAGGCCCACCAAGGCGACGAUCCGUAGCUGGUCUGAGAGGAUGAUCAGCCACACUGGAAAUGAGACACGGUCCAGACUCCUACGGGAGGCAGCAGUGGGGAAUAUUGGACAAUGGGCGCAAGCCUGAUCCAGCCAUACCGCGUGGGUGAAGAAGGCCUUCGGGUUGUAAAGCCCUUUUGUUGGGAAAGAAAAGCAGCAGGUUAAUACCCCGCUGUUCUGACGGUACCCAAAGAAUAAGCACCGGCUAACUUCGUG
rnacentral:rRNA from 1 species